rnacentral:rRNA from 1 species
GACGAAUGCUGGCGGCGUGCCUAAUACAUGCAAGUAGAACGCACAGGAUGCACCGUAGUUUACUACACCGUAUUCUGUGAGUUGCGAACGGGUGAGUAACGCGUAGGUAACCUGCCUGGUAGCGGGGGAUAACUAUUGGAAACGAUUGCUAAUACCGCAUAAGAACAUUUACUGCAUGGUAGAUGUUUAAAAGGUGCAAAUGCAUCACUACCAGAUGGACCUGCGUUGUAUUAGCUAGUUGGUGAGGUAACGGCUCACCAAGGCAACGAUACAUAGCCGACCUGAGAGGGUGAUCGGCCACACUGGGACUGAGACUCGGCCCAUACUCCUACGGGAGGCAGCAUUAGGGAAUCUUCGGCUAUGGGGGGAACCCUGACCGAGCAACGCCGCGUGAUGAAAGAAGGUUUUCGGAGCGUAAAGCUCUGUUGUUAGGAAUAUGGUGUGUGAGAUUGGAUUUUCACACAUUGACUGUACUUAACCAGAAUGGGACGGCUAUGUACUUGCCAGCUGCCGCGGUUAUACUUAUGGUCCCGAGCGUUGUCCGGAUUUUUUUGGGCGUUGAGUGAUCGCAGGUGGUUAGAUGAUCUGAAUUGAAAUGCUGUGGCUCAACCAUGUGUAGGCUGUGGAAACUGUUAAGUUGAUGCAUAAGGGGAGAGGGGUAUGCCUGUGUAGCGUGUGAAAUGUGUGAUUGUUGGAGGACGCCGGUGCGUAUUGUUUCUGUGGUGUGUGCUUGGUGCUGAUGCUCGAAGUGUGGGUAUCACAGAUAUUGGUGCGUGUGUUCGUGUGGAUGUCGGAUGUGAUGUUGUGUUGUGUUGCGUGGACUUGGGGUGAGAAUGGUACUAUCUUUUUGCUCUUAUGAGUGUAUUAGUGGUGGAUGGUGUGUGUGUG